rnacentral:rRNA from 1 species
CAAUAGCGUAUAUUUAAGUUGUUGCAGUUAAAAAGCUCGUAGUUGGAUUUCGGUUGAGAACGGCCGGUCCGCCGUUUGGUGUGCACUGGCUGGUCUCAACUUCCUGUAGAGGACGCGCUCUGGGUUAACGCUCGGACGCGGAGUCUACGUGGUUACUUUGAAAAAUUAGAGUGUUCAAAGCGGGCUUACGCUUGAAUAUUUCAGCAUGGAAUAACACUAUAGGACUCCUGUCCUAUUUCGUUGGUCUCGGGACGGGAGUAAUGAUUAAUAGGGACAGUUGGGGACAUUUAUAUUCCAUGGUUAGAGGUGAAAUUCUUGGAUUCAUGGAAGAUAAACUACUGCGAAAGCAUUUGUCAAAGAUGUUUUCAUUGAUCAAGAACGAAAGUUGAGGGAGCAAAGACGAUCAGAUACCAU